UACGUAGGGUGCGAGCGUUGCUCGGAAUCACUGGGCGUAAAGGGUGCGUAGGCGGGUCUUUAAGUCAGGGGUGAAAUCCUGGAGCUCAACUCCAGAACUGCCUUUGAUACUGAAGAUCUUGAGUUCAGGAGAGGUGAGUGGAACUGCGAGUGUAGAGGUGAAAUUCGUAGAUAUUCGCAAGAACACCAGUGGCGAAGGCGGCUCACUGGCCCGAUACUGACGCUGAGGCACGAAAGCGUGGGGAGCAAACAGG
rnacentral:rRNA from 1 species